rnacentral:rRNA from 1 species
GACGAACGCUGGCGGCGUGCUUGACACAUGCAAGUCGAGCGGAAAGGCCCUUCGGGGUACUCGAGCGGCGAACGGGUGAGUAACACGUGAGUAAUCUGCCCUUGGCUUUGGGAUAACUACCGGAAACGGUGGCUAAUACCGGAUACGACAACCGUCUGCAUGGGCUGGUUGUGGAAAGUUUUUUCGGCCAAGGAUGUGCUCGCGGCCUAUCAGCUUGUUGGUGGGGUAAUGGCCUACCAAGGCUUCGACGGGUAGCCGGCCUGAGAGGGUGACCGGCCACACUGGGACUGAGACACGGCCCAGACUCCUACGGGAGGCAGCAGUGGGGAAUAUUGGACAAUGGGCGGAAGCCUGAUCCAGCAACGCCGCGUGAGGGAUGACGGCCUUCGGGUUGUAAACCUCUUUCAGUACCGACGAAGCGCCGAUGAUGGUGGUGACGGUAGGUACAGAAGAAGCACCGGCCAACUACGUG